rnacentral:rRNA from 1 species
UACGUAGGGUGCGAGCGUUAAUCGGAAUACUGGGCGUAAAGCGUGCGCAGGCGGUGAUGUAAGACCGAUGUGAAAUCCCCGGGCUUAACCUGGGAACUGCAUUGGUGACUGCAUCGCUCGAGUAUGGCAGAGGGGGGUAGAAUUCCACGUGUAGCAGUGAAAUGCGUAGAGAUGUGGAGGAACACCAAUGGCGAAGGCAGCCUUCUGGGCCAACACUGACGCUCAUGCACGAAAGCGUGGGGAGCAAACCAGG